UCCAGACUCCUACGGGAGGCAGCAGUGGGGAAUAUUGCACAAUGGGGGAAACCCUGAUGCAGCAACGCCGCGUGAGUGAAGAAGUAUUUCGGUAUGUAAAGCUCUCUCAGCAGGGAAGAAGAUGACGGUACCUGAUUAAGAAGCCCCGGCUAACUACGUGCCAGCAGCCGCGGUAAUACGUAGGGGGCAAGCGUUAUCCGGAUUUACUGGGUGUAAAGGGAGCGCAGACGGCAGUGCAAGUCUGGAGUGAAAGCCCGGGGCCCAACCCCGGAACUGCUCUGGAAACUGUGCGGCUAGAGUACUGGAGGGGCAGGCGGAAUUCCUAGUGUAGCGGUGAAAUGCGUAGAUAUUAGGAGGAACACCAGUGGCGAAGGCGACUAUCUGGACAGCAACUGACACUGAGGCACGAAAGCGUGGGGAGCAAACAGGAUUAGAUACCCCAGUAA
rnacentral:rRNA from 1 species